rnacentral:sRNA from 1 species
AGCCUAAACCCCUCAAGGUUCGCUUGAAGGGCAUGGUGAAAAGCAGCCGCUACAGUGCAAAAAACUCCUCGUCCGGAGUCACUGUAGCGGUCGUAACCUCGAAAGAGGCUAUGGGCUUGGCCGAAAGGUUGGGUC